rnacentral:rRNA from 1 species
AUACGGAUGGUGCGAGCGUUAUUCGGAAUCACUGGGCAUAAAGAGCACGUAGGCGGCUGCAUAAGUAAGUGGUGAAAUCCCUCAGCUCAACUGGGGAACUGCCAUUUAUACUGUGCAGCUAGAAUGCGGGAGGGGCAGAUGGAAUUCCAGGUGGAGCGGUGAAAUGCGUAGAUAUCUGGAGGAACGCCGGAGGCGAAAGCGAUCUGCUGGCCCGAAAUUGACGCUGAGGUGCGAAAGCUAGGGGAGCAAACGGGAUUAGAAACCCUAGUAGUCC